GCUUAACAUCCUAAAUGUGUCCAAAAAGUUCCCAAUGCAAUGCAAUGCUCAGUGCUGGCCGUGAGAUGCUCUGUCUGCUCUGGUCCACAGCCUCAGUUACUGAUGAUAAAGUUUAUCCUGUAGCACACAGCGCCAGUCUUAGUAAGUAGGUCCUGUCCCUUUCCCAGCCUCCAGCACAGUGACCAGAAGGACGUCUACACAGCAAUGUCUUGUGAAGAGCAC